rnacentral:lncRNA from 1 species
CCUCUCUCUCUAACAGAUGCUCUCCCUUCUCUCUAGGACCUUCUGGUUCCUUCUUCUUCGAUGAAGUCAAUCGCCUCUCUGGCCAUACUCAUCCCUCACUUAUCUCGACCUCUAGUAGCCAUGGAAUCCUUAUAUCGUUGUUUUCUAUCUAAAGCUUGAAGCCCAGAAGUUUGCACGAUGAAAGAGCGUCACUGAAGCUUCGCCUGUGUCUGUUUCCAGCUUUUUCUCCGGUGGUUUUGUCCGACGAUGCUUUCUAUGGCAUUAUAUACGAGUUUCACGGCCAGGUUCUUCGUUUUCCCUAAUUUGUUUGCAAACCCUAAUUUUCUAAUCGAACCUCUUUAAUCUCUUCUCUUUUAAAACAACUCUCAGUUUGAUUUUGUUUUCUACUCUAUUUUUUACUUAGUGUUUCCGGUUAUUUCAAAUUUCAGAUGGUUACUACUCUUUCAAAUUAGGGUUUCUGCCCCCUUCUUCAAAAUCGUUUCUUCUGCUCUUUCUGAGUACUAUAUAUUCGUUUGUGUUUAUUUUUUUUACUUGUUUGUUUGGUGUCCUUGUUAACCUCGGUCCAUGCUUUAAUUUUUUCUUACUAGGGUUUCCGACCCCCUUUCAAGAUCACUACAUCUUCUGCUUCCUUUGAGUGUUAUGUUUGCGUGUAUUAUAUGUUUGUUUUUGUUUCGAGCAUGUUUGUUUCUGAGUUCCAUGCUUUAAACUUUUUUACUAGGGUUCCAACCCUCUACUCCUCUAUGAUUUCUUGCACAAUUUUCUCUGAUUUUUCAC